UGGGGAAUAUUGGACAAUGGGCGAAAGCCUGAUCCAGCCAUGCCGCGUGUGUGAAGAAGGUCUUCGGAUUGUAAAGCACUUUAAGUUGGGAGGAAGGGCAGUAAGUUAAUACCUUGCUGUUUUGACGUUACCGACAGAAUAAGCACCGGCUAACUUCGUGCCAGCAGCCGCGGUAAUACGAAGGGUGCAAGCGUUAAUCGGAAUUACUGGGCGUAAAGCGCGCGUAGGUGGUUCGUUAAGUUGGAUGUGAAAGCCCCGGGCUCAACCUGGGAACUGCAUCCAAAACUGGCGAGCUAGAGUAUGGCAGAGGGUGGUGGAAUUUCCUGUGUAGCGGUGAAAUGCGUAGAUAUAGGAAGGAACACCAGUGGCGAAGGCGACCACCUGGGCUAAUACUGACACUGAGGUGCGAAAGCGUGGGGAGCAAACAGG
rnacentral:rRNA from 1 species